rnacentral:sRNA from 1 species
UGCCUAAACUUUGACAAAAAUCAGAGCAUGGCAAUAAAUUCCCUUGCAGAAACGAGAGCUCCUCGUUCAGUUUCCUGCAAGGGUCAUAUGCCGAAAGG